AUGGGAAGCUCACUUCAGGAAGGUCAUCAAGGAUUGAGGGAGGUUGACUACAAGUGGUUGUCUGCAUUCCAUAUUAGGAGGACCUACAACGGUUUCCUGUUCUGGUCAUCUCCUGUUUUGGUUUCAGCGGCGACCUUUCUAACAUGCUAUCUUUUGGAAAUACCUCUUGAUGCUAGCAAUGUCUUCACCUUUGUGGCAACUCUACGUCUUGUGCAAGACCCUGUAAUAUUGAUGCCGGAUGUUAUUGCUGUUGUGACACAAGCUAAGGUUGCUUUCACUCGGAUAUCAAAGUUCCUUGAUGCACCUGAGCUAAAUGGACAAGUUAGGAAGAAAUACAAUAGUGGCAUUGAUUAUCCUAUAGCGACGAAUUCGUGUAGCUUCUCGUGGGAAGAGAAUACAUCAAAACUAACUCUAAAGAAUAUAAAUCUGGUAGCCAAAGCUAGAGAAAAAAUAGCAACAUGUGGAGAGGUAGGUUCUGGUAAGUCGACGCUUUUGGCUGCUGUACUCGGAGAGGUCUCCAGAACUGAAGGCACGAUCCAAAUCUAUGGGAAAAUAGCAUAUAUUUCUCAGAAUGCAUGA
rnacentral:rRNA from 1 species